GAUGAACGCUGGCGGCGUGCCUAAUACAUGCAAGUCGAUCGUACGGACGCGCAGCUUGCUUCUCUGCUGUUAGCGGCGGACUGGUGAGUAACUCGUGGCUAACCUACCUAUACGACUGGGAUCACUUCGGGAAACCGGAGCUAAUACCUGAUGAUAUUUUGACCCGCAUGGUUCAACAUUGCCAGACGGUCUUGCUGUCACUUAUAGAUGCAUCCGCGCUGCAUUAGGUAGUUGGUAAGGUAACGGCUUACCAAGGCAACGAUGCAUAGCCGACCUGAGAGGGGGAUGGGCAAUACUGGAAAUGAGACACGGGCCAGACUCCUACGGGAGGCAGCAGUAGGGAAUCUUCAGCAAUGGGCGAAAGUCUGAAGGAGCAACGCCGCGCGAGUGAGGAAGGUGCCAGGAUCGAAAAACUCGGUUAAUAGGGAAGAACAUAUGCGUAAGGAAAGGUACACAUCGGGACGAUACCAAAGCAGAAAGGCACGGCUAAACACGUG
rnacentral:rRNA from 1 species